rnacentral:rRNA from 1 species
GUAGAUUCCAGCUCCAAUAGCGUAUAUUAAAGUUGUUGCAGUUAAAAAGCUCGUAGUUGAAUUUCGGGGUUCUACCGUUGGUCGGGCAAUAGUCUGUACUGGCGUGUAGAAUUUCUACCUUCUGGGGAACCAUCAUGUUAUUUAUUUAGCGUGGUGGGAAACCAGGACCUUUACCUUGAAAAAAUUAGAGUGUUCAAAGCAGGCUUACGUCUGAAUACAUUAGCAUGGAAUAAUAAAAUAGGACGGUGGUCCUGUUUUGUUGGUUUCUGAAUCACCGUAAUGAUUAAUAGGGAUAGUUGGGGGCAUUAGUAUUCAAUUGUCAGAGGUGAAAUUCUUGGAUUUAUUGAAGACUAACUUCUGCGAAAGCAUUUGCCAAGGAUGUUUUCAUUAAUCAAGAACGAAAGUUAGGGGAUCGAAGACGAUCAGAUACCGUCGUAGUCUUAACCAUAAACUAUGCCGACUAGGGAUCGGACGAUGUAUNG